rnacentral:rRNA from 1 species
GGGUGACGGCGUACCUUUUGUAUAAUGGGUCAGCGACUUACAUUCAGUGGCAAGCUUAACCGAUUAGGGAAGGCGUAGCGAAAGCGAGUCCGAACAGGGCGUUGAGUCGCUGGGUGUAGACCCGAAACCAGAUGAUCUAUCCAUGGCCAGGUUGAAGGUGCGGUAACACGUACUGGAGGACCGAACCCACUAACGUUGAAAAGUUAGGGGAUGAGCUGUGGAUAGGGGUGAAAGGCUAAACAAAUCUGGAAAUAGCUGGUUCUCUCCGAAAACUAUUUAGGUAGUGCCUCGUGUCUCACCUUCGGGGGUAGAGCACUGUCAUGGUUGGGGGGUCUAUUGCUGAUUACCCCGCCAUAGCAAACUCCGAAUACCGAAGAGUGCAAUCACGGGAGACAGACAUCGGGUGCUAACGUCCGGUGUCAAGAGGGAAACAACCCAGACCGCCAGCUAAGGUCCCCAAAUAUAGCUAAGUGGGAAACGAAGUGGGAAGGCUAAAACAGUCAGGAGGUUGGCUUAGAAGCAGCCACCCUUUAAAGAAAGCGUAAUAGCUCACUGAUCGAGUCGUCCUGCGCGGAAGAUGUAACGGGGCUAAGCUAUAUACCGAAGCUGCGGACGCACGCAAGUGCGUGGUAGGAGAGCGUUCUGUAAGCCUGUGAAGGUGUCUUGUAAAGGAUGCUGGAGGUAUCAGAAGUGCGAAUGCUGACAUGAGUAGCGAUAAAGGGGGUGAAAGGCCCCCUCGCCGUAAGCCCAAGGUUUCCUACGCAACGUUCAUCGGCGUAGGGUGAGUCGGCCCCUAAGGCGAGGCAGAGAUGCGUAGCUGAUGGGAAGCAGGUUAAUAUUCCUGCACCGUCGUAUGAUGCGAUGGGGGGACGGAUCGCGGAAGGUUGUCCGGGUGUUGGAAGUCCCGGUCCCUGUAUUGGAGAAGGCGCU